rnacentral:misc_RNA from 1 species
GUCGAUACCAUCCUUAUGCAAGGUAGAAUCAUUGCAUAGUCCGUACCAUCCAUCCCCUUGCAAGCUAGAAAAGAAGCUUACUCAAUUGCUGUCUUGCUAAGAUUUGCCAUAGAGUCUUCAAACACAGGUUCCUUUAGUUUUGUGGCCCAGUGAUAGGCGCUUCUCACAAAUACUAGAGGUCCCAAGGAAGCUUUUGAAAGAUCCGAAGAGUGUAUUAGACAUUUUAUUGUAUGGUUUUAG